ensembl:lncRNA
AUUUAAUUGUGUCAGAAUUUAAGCCAUAAAGUUAUAUGAAUCAUGGCUCUCAAACAUAUUUUUUUCUAAGUUGCUCACGAUGCAGUAAAUGGAAUUUAUUCCACUGUUUAUUAAACUUAUAAAUCUCUCCAUAUAAGUGCCUGAGUCCACCACUUCAGGAUGCAUCCAUACUAAUAACUUACUUCUAAGUUCAAGCUGUUAUUCAAGCUAAAAAUCCUGUAUUGACCACACAACGUGUUACCUCAGAUUUUGGCUUUAGUCCAGAACAAGGCAAAUGGCAGCCCUAGCAGAAAUAUUUGUGCUUAAAGAGAGGCUGGCUUCUGCAGAAAUUUUGCCUUCUACAAGCAGUGUUGAAGAGGUGUCAUGAACAGAUUGGUGCUGGGAGCCAGAGCCCACAUUUGAAUACAGGUGCCAAGGACGCACAGAGUGUAUGUGUAUACAGAGUGUGGACAAAUGAUUCUCUGAAGUGAGGGCACCUCAGAGAAGCAACCAGAAAGACAAACAUUUAUGACAGAACAUUGCUUAUGUGUCCUUAAUUCCUAAAAGCCUAAAGGAUGAUAAGAUUUCUAUAUGAUAACCUGCUUUGGAUGGCCAUCAUGACUGUAUAUUUAAACAGGAAAAUGACUGACACCUGGAAUAACUUAUUGCUACAAGUUCCUUAUGAGGCAAAGAGAAGCUUCCAAUAGAUACAGCAGCAUACCUUAAAUAUUAUGUGGCUAAUGACCCAAAGACAGACACGGUUCCUCGUUCUCUUGAGGAAACUAACAAGAGGAGACUGAAAAGGCUCAGGCCUUGAAAAAAAUUUCUCAGUGGUGGAACAACUUUUAUGGUUAGUCUUUGCACACAAUGAGAUUUCUAGUUUCUCAGGAACUUGUUCAAUGAGAUUUCCUUUCUUUUUUUUUUUUCUUUUUUUUUUUUUUUUUCCCCUACUAUCACUGUCCUUCCAGGAACAGAACUGAUGUCAUGCUGUACUGCUGGGAUUUUUACAAGACAUGGGAUUCCCUGGGACAUUUAUUUAUGAAGAAAAUGGGUUGUGGAAAGGAAGAAAGGACUACUGAAAGAAAUAGGAAGCCAAAAGAGAUCACUGAAGAAAAUAAAUCUUCCAACAUAAGAAAACAUAAAGCAGGUUCAGAGCUUCAAUAAUGCCAUGGCCUCCUGUUCCACCACAUCUUCUCCUUGUGUUGCUCAGCCUCCAGGAAUUCUGUGUCACUGUGGUCCUUCUUGCUGUGUUUGUGUAGAUACUGUGGAGACAGCUCUCUCUUGCAAACAGACAGAGUGAAAAGACAGGGAGAGAUUUUUUGUCCCAGUAAGUGGUCUUUGUCAGGAUUCAAAAUGUCUUAGCAGACAGUUGAAGGAGCUUUUCUGCUUGUGAAAGGAAGAGAGGAGUAGAGAAGAGGAGUAGCCAGCCGGGCACUCUCAGCCCAGGGCAUUCAUAGGAUCACAGAAUCACAGAAUUGUUGGAAGGGAAUUAAAGAUCAUCUAGUUCCAACCACCCUGCCAUGGGCAGGGACACCUUCCAGUAGACCAGGUUGCCCAUCCAACUUGGCCUUAAACAUCUCCAGGGGUGGGGCAUCCACAACAUCUCUGGACAGCCUUUCCCAGUGCCUUACCAUCCUCAUAGUAAAUGAUUUCUUCCUUAUGCCUUUCUGUCCUGUCCUGCCAUUGAAAUGUACCAAGCUGCUUGAUUUUUUUGUAGUCUCCACAAAGGCAGAUCACCUAUUUCCUCUUGGCAAAAUAAA